CAAGUCGAGCGGGGAAGGUUGCUUCGGUAACUGACCUAGCGGCGGACGGGUGAGUAAUGCUUAGGAAUCUGCCUAUUAGUGGGGGACAACGUUCCGAAAGGAACGCUAAUACCGCAUACGCCCUACGGGGGAAAGCAGGGGAUCUUCGGACCUUGCGCUAAUAGAUGAGCCUAAGUCGGAUUAGCUAGUUGGUGGGGUAAAGGCCUACCAAGGCGACGAUCUGUAGCGGGUCUGAGAGGAUGAUCCGCCACACUGGGACUGAGACACGGCCCAGACUCCUACGGGAGGCAGCAGUGGGGAAUAUUGGACAAUGGGCGGAAGCCUGAUCCAGCCAUGCCGCGUGUGUGAAGAAGGCCUUUUGGUUGUAAAGCACUUUAAGCGAGGAGGAGGCUCCUUUAGUUAAUACCUAAAGUGAGUGGACGUUACUCGCAGAAUAAGCACCGGCUAACUCUGUGCCAGCAGCCGCGGUAAUACAGAGGGUGCGAGCGUUAAUCGGAUUUACUGGGCGUAAAGCGUGCGUAGGCGGCUUUUUAAGUCGGAUGUGAAAUCCCUGAGCUUAACUUAGGAAUUGCAUUCGAUACUGGAAAGCUAGAGUAUGGGAGAGGAUGGUACGC
rnacentral:rRNA from 1 species